CAGAACGAACGCUGGCGGCGCGUUUAAGCAUGCAAGUCGAGCGGCAAGGGCCUUCGGGCCCUAGAGCGGCGGACGGGUGAGUAACACGUGGACAAUCUGCCCCCCGGCCCGGGAUAGCCCAGGGAAACCUGGAUUAAUACCGGAUGAGACGGGACCCGCGAUGGCGGGAUCCGGGAAAGGCGCUGCGGCGCCGCCGGGGGAUGAGUCUGCGUCCCAUUAGCUAGACGGCGGGGUAACGGCCCACCGUGGCGACGAUGGGUAGCCGGCCUGAGAGGGUGGACGGCCACAUUGGAACUGAGACACGGUCCAGACUCCUACGGGAGGCAGCAGCUAAGAAUCUUCCGCAAUGGGCGAAAGCCUGACGGAGCCGACGCCGCGUGAACGAAGAAGGCCGCGAGGUUGUAAAGUUCUUUUCGGGAGGGGGAACAACCGUGGCAGGGAAUGGCCGCGGGAUGACGUGAAUCCCGGAAUAAGCCCCGGCUAACUACGUGCCAGCCGCUGC
rnacentral:rRNA from 1 species